CUCUUAACGGGGGAUCACUUGGCUCGUGGGUCGAGGAAGGACCGCGGCAAGAAGCGAAGUUUUGGUGGCUAUCGCAAUUCUCCCGUGAUUCCAUCGACGUGUCGAACGCACAUUUGCGGCGGCCCUGUGCCUUCUUCGAAGGACGGCUGCCACCUUCCCUC
rnacentral:rRNA from 1 species